AUUUAUAUAGUAUAAUUUAGUACAUUUGAUUUCCAAUUAAAUAGUUUGUAUAAAAUAAUAUAAAUA
rnacentral:tRNA from 1 species